CCCUUAGAUGUUCUGGGCCGCACGCGCGCUACACUGACGAAUGCAACGAGCUUAUAACCUUGGCCGAAAGGUCUGGGUAAUCUCCAAAUUUCGUCGUGAUGGGGAUAGAUUAUUGCAAUUAUUAAUCUUCAACGAGGAAUGCCUAGUAAGCGCAAGUCAUCAGCUUGCGUUGAUUACGUCCCUGCCCUUUGUACACACCGCCCGUCGCCCCUACCGAUUGAAUGGUCCGGUGAAGCGUUCGGACCGUGGCCUUUGGACGGUUCGCCGUCUGUUGGCUGCGGGAAGUUCGUUAAACCUUAUCAUUUAGAGGAAGGAGAAGUCGUANCA
rnacentral:rRNA from 1 species